GUGAGCAGGGAUCUCUGGUGGUGAAAAAGGUUAAGAAGAUGAUUUGGUUUACUUUUUUGAGCGUAUGAAUUUGUAACUCAACAACCUAUUCCUGAGCUAAAGGAACUGGGAAGGAAAAGCUGUCAAUGAAGACCUCAUGCUGUACAGAAUGGGCAGAGAUGUCCAUAAGCUGUUGCAGAAGAGGAACAUGCUGUACCAGCCUGCUCACCACACAGGUCUGAUUUAUAAAAGCACUUCAUCGCUGACCUAAUUUGGGUCCAUUUAAGAUUUCCCCAGCCUCACUGAUGCUAAUCUGAUUGUCCAGGAAUCAGCAAAGGGUAAUUAGCCUCUGUGAUAAUGAUCUAUCUGUCACAAGAUCAUGCCCUUUCAUCACAGACCAUCUCGGAUGUUGUCUAACCCAGCACAGGAAUAUGGAGCACAGCCCGUGCACAGCGGUGAGCAGCAGGUGCUGUUCUCUGCUCAGUGGGACCUGCGUUGCCAUCACCAUCAAGUCAUGGAGGGUUCCUGAUGGGCAGAACCUGGUGACAGUAGAAAAGGAAACUGAAUCAUACUUUGUGGCCAAAAACAUGACAGUAACAACAAGAAAAAAGUCUUGUUUUGAU